UACGAAGGGGGCUAGCGUUGUUCGGAUUUACUGGGCGUAAAGCGCACGUAGGCGGAUCGUUAAGUCGGGGGUGAAAUCCUGGAGCUCAACUCCAGAACUGCCUUCGAUACUGGCGAUCUUGAGUCCGGAAGAGGUGAGUGGAACUCCUAGUGUAGAGGUGGAAUUCGUAGAUAUUAGGAAGAACGCCAGUGGCGAAGGCGGCUCACUGGUCCGGUACUGACGCUGAGGUGCGGAAAGCGUGGGGAGCGA
rnacentral:rRNA from 1 species